rnacentral:lncRNA from 1 species
UUUUUCUUUGUUUUCCUUGGCCCGUUUAGUUGUUGUUAGUAUUUAGUUUUUUUCUUUUCCUCUUUAGUAAUUAGUUUAAUAGUUGGUCUAAUAAUUAGUUUAUACAUAGUUUAUUUAGCUAAUGUAUUUUUUAGUUUUUCUUAAUUUAAUAUAAUUAGUUCUAAUUUAAUUAGUUUUGUUAAUCAUAAUUAUUUAAUUCAAUUAAUUGAUACUAAUUGAUCAAUUUUACUAAUUAAGUCUAAUUAACCUUACUAAUCGAUUUUAAAUUUUAUGUUUAUUUUAUUUAAA